rfam:Ovis aries breed Texel chromosome 1, whole genome shotgun sequence.
UCCCUGAUAGCUCAGCUGGUAAAGAAUCCGCCUGCAAUACGGGAGACCCGGGUUCGAUCCCUAGUCUGGGAA